rnacentral:lncRNA from 1 species
AAAUUACGAAAGAAACAUGAAAAAAUCCUAAAAAAAUAUUAAAAAAAUCUUAAAUAAAUCUUAAAUAAAUCUUAAUCAAAUCUUAUUUUAAUCCUAAUUGAAAUCCUAAUAGAUCUUAACUAAAUCUUAGGUUAAAUCCUAACUAAAUCUUAAAUUCUAAAUCAAAUACUAAACAAAUUCUAAACCUUAAAUCUUAAAUCAAACCUUACAAAAAUUCUAAGUCCUAAAUAAAUCUUAAAACCUAAACUAAAUCCUAGAAAAAUCCUAAAUCGUGAACCAAAAUCUAACUAAA